ensembl:lncRNA
CUUCAGGCCAAAUCCAUAUUAUGAAGACCUGGAGAGAAUGGAGGAGGUGGUCAUGUCAAUUCUGCACAACUUAGAGAUGGAGAACACUGAGAUCCAUGAGAACAACCAUAAGCUGAAGAAGGAGAUUACCUUCUCUAGAAACCUGCUCAGCCAGCUCCUGAUGGAGAACACAUGCAGGAAGAAGUUGGUCCCACUGAAGCAGGGGAGCAAGGAGGGACAUCUUGAGUGUGCACUGAACCAGAAAUAUUUGGUUGACUUAAGCAAGAAAGAUAAAGACCAGCAACGUCCAGACCCAGCAUCAUCUGGUCUCAGAAAGUGCAAGAGAGCUGGAAUUGGACACACCCCAGUAAGAGAGCUUCCUGAAG